GAAUUAUAGGGCGUAAAGCGCACGUAGGCGGCUUUGCAAGUCGGAUGUUAAAGCCCACGGCUCAACCAUGGAAGUGCAUCCGAAACUGCAGAGCUUGAGUAAUUAAGAGGAUCGCGGAAUUCCAGGUGUAGAGGUGAAAUUCGUAGAUAUCGGGAGGAACACCAGUGGCGAAGGCGGCGAUCUGGGAAGAUACUGACGCUGAGGUGCGAAAGCGUGGGGAGCAAACAGG
rnacentral:rRNA from 1 species